CACUCUCAAGACGUGAGAGAGCGUGAGCCGGGGCGCAAAGAGACUACAGCCAGCGAGCGAGAGAGACAGAGAGAAACAGAGAGAGAGAAACAGAGAAACAGACAGAGAGAAGAAAAGAUAAAGGAAGAAGCGUGGAAGAAGCCGUGGAGACGCGUUUGGUUUUGGGCCCCUGCGCGCGCGGAUUGGAUCUUUUUUUUUUGGCAGCAUGAAAUGCUGAUUAGUGCCCCCCUCGUCUGCGUGCGUAACGCCGUGGUGCGCAUUGUCGUCUCGCCGCGGCCGCUGCUGCUGGGAGCUCUACGAGAAACUUAACUUUUUUACGCGUUUUAACGAUUUUAACGCGUUUUACGCUUUUGUAUUUCUGUUCCCCCGCGUUAUUUAUUGACCAUUGAUCGGCCUUUUCCACUGUGGAUUGUAAGAAAGUGAUCAGAAGGAGGACGCACGCGCCGAGCUUGUGUGGAUUUCCCUCUUUUUCCAUUCCCUUACGCCUUUUUCCUUUUAUUCUGAGGAUUUUCUCGCAGGUGCCUCUUGACUGGGGCAGUAUGGGAGUGCUACUCUGACCCCCCCCCCCCCCCUCCUCUUCUUCUUCUUCCCCUCCUCCUCCUCCUUCUUCUCCUCAGUGUCACGGGUUUUGCUCCACUGUAGAGAGAAAGAAGAGGCCUGUGAUUCUCCCUGUUCCCUUCAAGACUUCACCUCCUUUAAACAUAUUUCCCUACGAACUUUUUUUGAGGGGGAAAAGCCAAAAAACAUGAACUUUGGUGUCUAUUCGCUGCACUUGGUUUUAGCAGCGCUGCUUCACGCGUCUGCACUGAAGGCAGCACACAUACCUCCCAAAGACGGAGGGAAAAGCAAAAAUGAAGUGGUUCCCUUUAUGGAUGUCUACACGAAAAGCCAGUGUAACACCCGGGAGGUUCUCGUAGACAUCUUGCAGGAGUAUCCGGACGAUAUAGAGUCCACCUACAUCCCGUCCUGUGUAGUUCUCAACCGCUGUGCGGGCUGCUGCAACGAUGAAGCGCUGGAGUGCGGCCCCAAGGAGACGCAAACCGUCACCAUGGAGGUAUUAAGAGUGAGGCAAGGUUUUGCACAACAUAAAUAUCAGUUGAAUUUCACAGAACAUACAAAAUGUGAAUGCAGACCAAAACAAGAACUCAAAACAAAGAAAGAAAAAAAACCCCGAAAGGGCAAAGGUCAAAAGAGAAAGGCAGAGAGGCUGAGAGGCGACGGGCCCCAGGCCCACAGCAGCGGGAGCACUCCUCUGCAGCCCGGCCCCGUGUGCCUCGCGCUUGCGGCUCUGGUGUUAGAGCAGUGCGUCUGGUUCUCCAGCUGCUGAGCGUUUGCUUCUCUCUUUGCCGACCGUUAGCUUGAGGCUGGUACGGGGUCGCGGCUCAGGGGCAGCAGGAGAGAUGUGACAAGCCAAGGAGAUGAUUGGACUUUGUAUGUCAGACGUCGACGGACACUGAAAUGUAUGAAGGAAUUCUUUCAAAUGGCACUUUCUUCUUUUUUUUCAACCUGUGGACCAUACUGCAUAACACGACUCCAGAACACAGAGACAGAGGCAGGAUAACCACCCCGCUGACAUAACUAUAUAUAUAUAUAUAUAUAUAUAUAUAUAUAUAUAUAUAUAUAUAUAUAUGAAGAGAGACUUUGACAAUGUGUAAUGCUGCUAUGGGAAACACAAACACGUGGUGAACGACAGUGCCUCCAGUUUCUGUACACGAGAGAGAUGGAUGUGUUUUUAGUGCCAGUGCCAGUUUGGACCUGCGUGUGAUUGGACACAGAACAGAACGUCCACACGGGACACACGACUUCUCUGACCUAAGCUGCUGUGGAUUCAUAUUCAACGGCGAUCCGCAAACACGAACUCUGUGCAAGACGACGGAGGACGGAUCGCCUGGGGCUGCGUUCCAAUCGGACGAAACGGCAGGUCCUCGUUGGGAAGUGUACGGAAAAAAAAAAAACGAAGAAGAAAAAAAAGCGGAAUGAUCUCCUGUGAGGACUCUCUGAAAGCGAGGGACAAAGUCUUACUCAAACACGACGACUGUACUAACACGCAAUAGAACUGAGUGUGUAAAUAAUAAAGGGAUAUUAAACGUCGGUAUAUACGGAGAGAUAACGGUUCAAUUCCCCUUGUUGCCCAAAGAGACGAGUUUAGGAACUGCUCACUCUGCCACCGUGACCGUGGGUCUGUAUAUAUACAUGACUAAUAUCCCUUUCAGCUAGUACACUACAUCUAAUUUAUAAAUUUAGAGUAUUUCAGUAUUCUGUAUUUAAUUUCAUCUAUUUAUAUGUUUGUUUGUUUUUUCGUUUGUUAUUGUUAUUGUUCAUCAUUUCUACACCAAUCUGCCUGAAUCUGAGUUUUGUUCACAGCAGAAAGUCUUAAACAUUCCGGAAUAAAGGCCUUUAUUUUUGUUAGGGGAAAGGGGGGUUUCUGUGGGGGGGGGGGGGGGGGGGGUGCCGUAGACCUGCUGCCAAAUUAGUGUGCUAGGAGCGAACGAUUGGACCUGCGCUGACCGGUGCUGACCGCCUGACCUCGGCACUGGACGGCGUGAACCGAAAGAGAAAAAAGUAAACAGAGCUCGAUCUCUUCCCAUUGAGAAAAUAAAACACACAUUCUAUUUGUA